ACCAUAGAGAAUGUGACAUGGACGCGGACAGUUUUGGCUGAUGUGAAAGUUCACAUCUUUGGCUCCUUCCAAAACAUCAAGAUGGCAAGAACUGCCGUUUGCAACCUAAUCUUGGGAAAUCCUCCUUCCAAGGUUUAUGGCAAUAUACGAGCUGUGGCUAGCAGAUCAGCAGAUCGGUUCUGAUUUCAAGUCAGAGACUUUUUAUCUUGCCUUUGGACUCUGGAGAAAAAUACUUUCUUUACGAGUGGUCACAAGAAACCAUCUGAAGAAUUUCAGUCAUUUGAAGCCUCCGUCUCUUUUUCUAUUCUCAGCUAGAAGCAUAAACAAAAAAGGAAGGUUUAAGAGUAUUCACACUCAAUAGGUUUUAGGAUAAUUUAAAUAUAAAAAAUUGAUUCUAUUAUACUUACACAUUAGGUAUAAUUUAUGAUUUCUUUAUUUAAAAUCACAUGUAGCAGAUUGCAUCAUUUAUAAUCCUCUCAGAGGGAAACUUCUUGUUUAAACAGCUCUAUGUGAAUUUAUACUUUUAUAUUUAUAAAUUUAAAACCAUAAAAAUUUAUAAACGUUUCUUCUUUAUAAAUUGCAAUUUAAUAGAUUAUUUCAGAAAAACCUCUUGGAAUGAUGACCUUCCUUAAUACUGGGUGAUAUGUGAAUAUUUUUUUGUAGGGGAAUGGGAUCUCACCUUGUCACCCAGGCUGGGGUGCAGUGGUGCAAACUCAGCUCACUGUAGCCUCUACCUCCUGGGUUCAAGUGAUCCUCCUGCCUCAGCCUCCCUAGUAGCUGGGACUAGAGGUGUGCACCACCUGCCUGGGUAAUUUUUUGUAUUUUUUGUAGAGAUGGGGUUUCACCAUGUUUGUCAGGCUGGUCUCGAAUUCCUGACCUCAAGGGAUCUGCUCGACUUGGCCUCCCAAAGUGCCGAGAUUACAGGCAUGAGCCACCGCACCCAGCCUUGAUGUGUGGAAUAUUUGAGAGGUCAUAAGCAGUGGUUUUGGUGAUACUAUACUAUAUGAAUCAGUAAGAGCUCAUCUUAGAACCUGUUUUGCAGUUUUAAAAAUUAAAGACCUACAUCAUAGGGUU
rnacentral:lncRNA from 1 species